CUAAGCAGGCCUAAUUAUGGCAACCUACUUUUACAAAUAUGUGACCGUCAAAUAAAACAACAAAAUGAUGCAUUUCUUAACAUGUCAUAACAACUGAUGUCGGCUGCAAGCUGCUCUGUACUAAACAAAUAACCCUACGCCUUAUACACCAUCCUCUCCAAAUCGAAGCCCUAAAUCCAUUAUCUGAGUGUGCAGCCUAAUCAGUACCAACGCAGACAUCUUCAUCUGCUUCGAGAUCCGUCGAGGAGUCAUUUAUCACACCGCGACGCAACUCAUGGAUGCCCCUUAAAUUAUUAUCAUAUAGUGCUAGAUAUACAUACUGAUUGGACGCAGCAGGGGGAACACUGGGUCUUUACAUCGACUGACUGCGAGAAGGGGGAGACGCUCCAUCGCGCGCUGGACAACAAUAUCUAUCUAGACCCGGAGACCUCUCCGUUCUUUUGAAAAUACAAAAUAGCCACCUUGCUUGUACCGUUGGCGGUCGGAAGAGUGUGAGAGAGUGCCUUUCUUUUGCUCGUUUUGUUUACGUCAAGGGGACUGAAGUUUACGGAGGCAGUGGUUCUCUCGGCGCAAAUAGGCUACAACAAUCGUAACUCGAUCUCCCCCCGUUUUGUGUCGUCUGUGGUUGGUAGGGUCCUCAGUAGUUACACAUGUGUGGUUGUCACUGCUGGACGGUGUCAUGCUCGAAUCCUCUGCUUCUUGCACUGCUCUGUCCUCUUCUGUUGAGUGAUCAGACAGUCUUCACUGUUGUUCCCGGGCAGCGAAUACCUGUCAACACCCCGUCGGCGACAUUGAAAACAGCGACGAAUUCCCUAGAAGUUGGAGCAUCGUUUGGUGAAGUUUUGACCCACCGGUACUGAACAACAAUGGGAUUCUAAUCGGAAAAAUCCACGCCAGGUAGGGCCCUAAACUGUACUGUCAUGUUGUCAUUUAUUUAUUUUAAUAUUGUCCAAAAUGAUAAACACAUUUAUUAGCCGGGUAUUGGUAUGGCUGGUGUUUACUUCUUGUGAGAGUUGUUGAUAAAUUACGCGCCGUUCGUGUUUUACAAGCGCUUGACAUGAAAAGUGCCAUAGAAAAAUCCCAUUUAAUAUUUUGAGGUACCCUUCGUAGCGUCUAUGUCAGUUGUGUGUUGUGAAACUUCUGAACUACUUUUACCAGGAUAAACUGGCGUAUGUGCAUGCUAUUUGAUUACGCAUUGUUGGACACAUUAAAAUAGUUCACCUGGUAUCUGCACACGUGCUUAAAAUAAGCACAAAAAAUAUAUAGAAAUUGCCUUUUGAUUGCGUACAGCUGAAGGCCUACAGUAAUUUUAUGUUGUAAUUUAAUCGAUCCACACAACUAUAUGUCAGUUAUUUAAAAAAAAAUGUAUUCAGUUUUCUGACAUUGUUGCUAUUUCGCCUAUUAUGAGUGCCAUUGUUGUUGCUCGUGUAGAUGUAUUUAGUCCUUUAAUUGUUCUGCCAGUGUUCGUUUGUAUCAGGUGCUCUUUGGCGACACGGGCACAGGUCGAUAAUCAGACAAAUGCAUAAAAUGGAGAAAAAAAAGAAUACAUCGUUGUCUUCCUUCUCUACAAAGGCGACACAUACAUGAUAUGUUGCUCCACUAUGUUAUUAAUACGCUGUAUCAUUACGGUUUGUCUAGGACCUUUCAAAACACAUGACAGAACACUGUAAAGCUUUCCGUUUGUCAUCAUUUCUGGGCAUACGGUGCUGGUUAUCAAUAACGUGUAUUGGUUUAUUAUAAGGGACUGGCUUCGUCCCCUCACUGGGUCCUUAAAGCUGUAGCCUGACAGAUUUAUCCCCAUAUAAGUAGUUUUAGGGCUUUGUUCAAUGUGUAUCGCUGAAGCGUUACAGAUUGCAGAUAUACAUAUACAUAUCAUUUACAUUGAGCCAACAUAUGCCGCGUUUACCGUGAAUGCAGUCUAUGCGACCGCGGGAACAUUGCCUUUAAUUUUCAAUUGCGCUAUAAAGCGGCUCUUCAGCGUUACGGGUUGAAUAUAGACCCUAGUCUUUAUCCAACGGGGAUGCCAACAAUGCGAUAUAAUAGAAUACGCUACCGGUAUACCAAAAUAUUUGAAAAGCUUCCAGGUCACAUACAUUUUUAAAAAGGACUAUGAAUCAUGUCGUUGUCCCUUAGAUAGAUAUGGUGCAGAGUGUGUAGUGUGUGAUUUGGCUCACUUCUUUACCCUGUGCCCUUCUUUUCCCCGGAGGCACUGAGCCUGGAGGUCCCUUUAGCCUACAGCAGAAAUAAAAUGUUCCGUAAUUCGUUCAUUUUAAUGUAACCCCCAGGUUAGGCUAUUUUAAGAUAUGGGGUGAAACAUUGUUUAAGGUUUUAUAUUGGUUAAAGAAACAGCAGGCCUGUAACAAUGAUUUAUUAGACAGUCAAUAGAUACUUUAUUGAACAUCAGAAACACCUGUUUAAAUGUGUAAUGCUAUGAAACAUUUAGUGGUUAUUUUUCAGUUUUUCUUAAAGGUCAGCACUGUCACUUUACAGUUGUGGAUUAUUUCAUUGAAAAGGUGCAUACGGUUAUGUUGCAUCUUGUUCUCAGAAUCAGCACACCACCGUUAGUCAGUAGCAUUAUUUAUUUAUUAUUGACUGUGUGUUUGUUUUACUCCAUGUGUAACUCUGUGUUGUUGUAUGUGUCGAACUGCUUUGCUUUAUCUUGGCCAGGUCGCAGUUGUAAAUGAGAACUUGUUCUCAAAUGGCCUUCCUGGCUAAAUAAAGGUGAAAUAUUUGUAUUUAUUUUUUAAAGUAGAAAUAGAGGGACACACACACUAGUAUUUUUAAUGAAAACAUUUCAUAUAAUUCAACAUAACAUAAUUCCUUUUUUCUAAACAUUGUAAAAUUAGAUUGCGCUCUUGUAAAAAAAAAGUUGUAUUUAUUUUUAUAAUCCAUUGAUAGUGGUUGACUCCAGUAGGUUCAGACCAGUGCCCUCUAAACAGCCUGGACAUGGUGCAGACAGCCAGUGUAGGUAAAACAAAGAGCCGAGGUAUCUUCAUGUUCUGUAAUUGCGUCUGAAAAAUGAGACUGAAGAUAGAGGCCUGACGAAAGAUUCCUGGAUCCUCCUAAAUAGGCUUUUGU
rnacentral:lncRNA from 1 species